rnacentral:lncRNA from 1 species
AGGAAUGAAGGCCCUCUCUUUGGGUGAUUAGCCUUUGCUUAUGCAAAGAGGAAUCGACAAAGGUAUAAAUUUCAACUCACUUUGUUUUGAGUUGAGUCUUGGUUCACCAAUCUACUAGGCUUUGAAUUUCAUGGUUAAUGUUUUGUUUUUAAGUGCAUGCAAGCAUGAUUCCGCCUUUAAUUGUUAAUUGCAUGCUUAUAGAUGUUGCUUAAAUGAACAUGUUUUUUCACAAAUCUUCCUUCAUGUUUAUCCUUACCUUUCAUUGUUAGCCAAUACCUUAGCCCCGUUACAACCCUUGACUUCCAUCUUGAGUGUUGUGUGUUUCAAUAUGUGGAGUUUGGAAUUGGUAUGAGCAUAUGAUAUCACUGGUUCUCGCUUUUAAGUAGUAGCAUUUCAUUCAUGAGAUCAUAUAUAUACAUGCAUUAGUAAUUCCAGAAAUUGCUUUCUUUGUUUAAAACAUAUGUGAGUAGUUUUCAUGUUUACAUCAAUCUUCUCACAUAUACCUAGUGUAGGGUGUGUAAUAAGAAAAUCUGAGUGAAAAUUGAGUGCAUAUCUAGUUAGGAAUUGAAGGAAUUCUCUAAGGCAUGUUAAUACAUUCAAAAAUGUUGUUUUAAUUGAUUAAAAUGUGAGCUAGUGAAUGGUGACUAUGAUUAAGUGUGCUCAAGGGUAAGAAUUGCUUAAAUCUAUGUGAAGUAGUGAUCUUUGGCAUAUUAUGUUUCAUUGGAAAUCUCUGAGGCAAAUGUUGGAAGGUGUAGAUUGUUUCUUUUGUUUCUUUUGUUUGUUUGUUUUGCUCAAGGGCUAGCAAACGCUAAGUGUGGGGGAAUUUGAUAGGAGCAUAUUUAUGCGACUUAGUUAGCUUGUUCUUGUGCAUUUUUGUUGUUAUUCUUUAGUUAUUUUAGUGUUUAAAGUCAUUUUCGUGCAAUUUCAGGUUUAUAUGGCUAAUAUGGCAAAGAAGUGCAUUUGGAGCCUUUUUGGAGAAAAAUUGGGCUUGGAAUCCAUGACACAUGCUUGGAGCUAAGAGAAUGGACGAAAUUGAAGACCUAAAGAUAUGAAAAUUCCUAAUUGAAAGAGGAUUCCUAGAAGAAUAAGGAUUCCUACUUGAAGUAGGAAAGUUAAGCCAAGGUUUCCUAUUUUGGGUUGACCUUUUCUAAUCCUAAAUGGCCCUAAGUUCCAGCAACAUUGAAGGUUCCUAUGCAUUGUAGGACACAAACCAAAGGUUCCUUACACCAUUCAAAGCCUUGCCGCACCACCUUUCCCUUUCCCCUUCCAUUCCUAUUCCUUGUCGUGCAAGGGAGAGCCUUCCUUCCCUUUUCCUUGUUUCACAUACCCUUUUCCCUUCCCUCAACAUCCUUGCCGCAUAUCCCCUUACCUUUUCCUUAGGAUUUUGACUUUAAUUCCUAUUUCCCUUUAUGUUUUGGUUUAAUUUCUGUUACCUAAAUUAUUUCCUAGUCUUAAUUACCCUAAAGUCUUUAAAUAAACACCAUAGCCGCAUCUAUUGAGGAUCAUUCACUAUUCUACACAUCUAUCCACUUCCAGUCGCACCCAUUCACCACUCAUCACGCCACCAACCAUUCAGCCAUACAUCCAUCUCUAAACAUCCAGCCGCACUUCCUAGACAACCUUAAGCCAUUCUUCCAUACAUAUAACUAUCCAAAUCAUCACCCAUUCCUUGUGCCGCAACAAAGGAAGGGAAGAAAAGUUAUUGGACGUACUUGCUGUUUAGAUUGGAUUGCUGGAGUGUUUAGGUGUUUUCUUUCUUUUGUUUUCAAUGUAUAAAUUUAUUUACCUUUGUGUUGGAAAUAUGCCCUGAAAGUCAAUCUUUGGAAGAAACCUUUCAGGACAAAUAAAUCGAUGUAUAGAUGAAUCUUAUACAUCAAAUGGCAAAGAUACUAAUUAGGACUAUCUCAAUACAUCAUAUAUGUCCUAAAUAGUGUAUCCAUGGACAAUGGAUCGAUUGAAGAAGUAAUCUAAUGAUGUUAGACUACAGAGACCUUCUUCACAUAACCAAAUGUCGAAAAAGGUUCCUGGUCAUUGGAUUGUCGGAGGG